rnacentral:rRNA from 1 species
AACGAACGCUGGCGGCAUGCCUAACACAUGCAAGUCGAACGAGACCUUCGGGGCUAGUGGCGCAAGGGUGCGUAACGCGUGGGAACCUGCCCUUAGGUUCGGAAUAACUCCCCGAAAGGGGGGCUAAUACCGGAUAAUGUCUUCGGACCAAAGAUUUAUCGCCUUUGGAUGGGCCCGCGUUGGAUUAGCUAGUUGGUAGGGUAAAAGCCUACCAAGGCGACGAUCCAUAGCUGGUCUGAGAGGAUGAUCAGCCACACUGGGACUGAGACACGGCCCAGACUCCUACGGGAGGCAGCAGUGGGGAAUAUUGGACAAUGGGCGAAAGCCUGAUCCAGCAAUGCCGCGUGAGUGAUGAAGGCCUUAGGGUUGUAAAGCUCUUUUACCCGGGAUGAUAAUGACAGUACCGGGAGAAUAAGCUCCGGCUAACUCCGUG